rnacentral:rRNA from 1 species
UACAGAGGUCUCAAGCGUUGUUCGGAUUCAUUGGGCGUAAAGGGUGCGUAGGUGGCGCUGUAAGUCGGGUGUGAAAAUUUCGGAGCUUAACUCCGAAACUGCAUUCGAUACUGCGGUGCUUGAGGACUGGAGAGGAGACUGGAAUUCAUGGUGUAGCAGUGAAAUGCGUAGAGAUCAUGAGGAAGACCAGUGGCGAAGGCGGGUCUCUGGACAGUUCCUGACACUGAGGCACGAAGGCCAGGGGAGCAAACGGG